rnacentral:misc_RNA from 1 species
AUUUUGGUUUGCAGAAUGGUUUUGGUGCUAACGGCGGCGCUAAUGGAUUUGGUAACGGCGGCGCUAAUGGGGUGAGAAGGAAGAAGAUUGGUUAUAGCCAGGGGAAGCGGAGGAUGAAUAGCCGGACUGCCAUAGCACAGCGGGAGGAUGCCAUUAGAAAGACGGUUUAUGUGUCGGAUAUUGAUCAACAGGUUACCGAAGAAGAGCUUGCUGCACUCUUUCUCACCUGUGGACCGGUUGUUGACUGUCGUGUAUGUGGCGACCCAAACUCUGUUCUUCGAUUUGCUUUUAUAGAGUUCAGUUAUGAGG